CACAAGGUAAGUGUUUUCUUGUAUUCCUAGUGUGAUUACUUUGAUAUGGUUUUGUUUAACAGUGCCGAGAAGGAUAUUUUGCCAGAGAGUGUCCACAAGCUGGUGGGGGCGGUGGCAGUGGCCCGUUGACGUCACAAAUAUGGGGAAGGGGACGUUUCUCGAAGGACAAAACCGUGGCGGUUGGGGAAGUGAUACCUGCCAUGAGGUAAAAAAGAAAACAAAAACGUUUUAGGUGUCCAUUUUUAACGAAGAAGAGGGCCAUGUAGCAAGGGAUUUCCCACAAGGAGGAGGCAUUGGUGGCAGCAAGUGUUACAACAUAAGCACCAACUGUAUCUUCACAAAAAUAUUUUAUGUUGCAGUGUUCAUUGUUUUACCACAGCGUAAUGAAGCUGGCCACACCUCGGAAAGCUGCCCGAAUCUAUUCAGUGAAUUGACGGAAGAUGGAAAGCCGAGUGAACAAUAUAUUCCGGAAGCUGUGACAUGUGAAAGUAGUCCUCCAGAUUACAGGAAAAGAUGUACCUCAACACAUAACAUCAUUCUAAGAAGCAGGCCUGCACCUACUACUACUUCAAAACUUAAGAAUUCUGGCUACAUAAAACCAACACCUGUUCAGAAAGCUUCCGUUGCAGGUAUUCUUGCCAAAAGAAAUUUAAUUGGUUGUGCUGUCACGGGCUCCGGCAAAACAGUAGUCCAAUUAAUUAACGCUUAGUAAUUUUGAAACCUGGAUGUCCUGGUACUGACUUCAUUCGAAGGGUUCGGUGUGAACUGGGUAAGUUGAAGUAAAAGUAAUUUUGAGUGGGCACGCUGGUAAUUACGACUACUAAAAGGUCCAAUUGCAUC